rnacentral:rRNA from 1 species
AACGAACGCUGGCGGCGCGCCUAAUACAUGCAAGUCGAGCGAGAAGGUGUAGCAAUACACUUGUAAAGCGGCGAACGGGUGAGGAAUGCAUGGGUAACCUACCCUCGAGUGGGGAAUAACUAGCCGAAAGGUUAGCUAAUACCGCAUACGUUUCCGGAACUUCGGUUUCGGAAAGAAAGCAAUACCGUGGGUAUUGCGCUCCUGGAUGGGCUCAUGUCCUAUCAGCUUGUUGGUGAGGUAACGGCUCACCAAGGCUUCGACGGGUAGCUGGUCUGAGAGGACGAUCAGCCACACUGGCACUGCGACACGGGCCAGACUCCUACGGGAGGCAGCAGCAAGGAAUAUUGCGCAAUGGACGAAAGUCUGACGCAGCGACGCCGCGUGGGGGAUGAAGGUCUUCGGAUUGUAAACCCCUUUCGGGAGGGAAGAUGGAGUGGGUAACCACUUGGACGGUACCUCCAGAAGCAGCCACGGCUAACUUCGUGCCAGCAGCCGCGGUAAU